rnacentral:lncRNA from 1 species
CCUCCCCCCCACCUCGGGUGAGUGCAUGCACUCUGUUGCAGAGCUCCCUUGAACCUCUUGCCUGAUCAUUUUCCCGGCUGCUGGCACAUCAUAAAAGCGUGUGUCCAGGUCCAGUGCAGGUCCUUGCUCAUUUUGUCAUUUGUUGGCACAUCACACAAGCUGCGCCCAAGUUUCCACACAGGGUGCUGCCUGCUUAGCAUGGCUUUUACCUCUCAGAGCGACCCGGAUAAUUUUACCAGAGGUGGACAACUCCCCCCCCCAAAAGGGGGUGUUCUAAAUAUGUUCAUAGCAUUAGUGUCCCCAGACCUUGGACACUUAUAUUUGGGUGCAAAAUGUAGCCUGUUUUAUUAGCCCUCCAUAGAGGUAGAGUAGAGCCUUACUGUCCAAGAUUUGGGGACUAAUGCCUAAUUGGCCUCGGCGUAAACCCUAAUUUUCACCAUUAAAACUCCAUAUCUGACCACCCACUGCACCAAAUAAGGUGUUUUUUGUAAUUUGGUGUCCUUGUAUCAAAUUAAUGUCAUUGCAAAAAAAAUUGGGGUAAAAAGACCCAGUAGUUGGUCAGUUAUGCAAUUCCAGCUAUUUCCCUUGGAGAAAAUCUUGCUUAAGGGUGCUAAAAAGGUCAAAAGUUUGACCUCCUUCUUUCCUAUUUUUGAAUAUGCGGGAUGUUAGCAUGUCAUAUAGGGAUUAUUGGAAAAUGUUUUGGGGGUGAAAAUGGCCCCAGGGUGGAGCUGUUGGCCGUUUUUGUGUGAUCUGAAGCCAGAGGAGUGACCUGGGGACCUCUGAUUUUCAUGAAUUUUUGGGGGACAUGCUAAUUUAUAGAGUUAUAAUGGUUGGCAUGGUUAGACUUGAAGAAAAAAGUUAGGAAAGAACGUAUCUAGUGAUUUUGGCCUGUUAACCCCCUCUGUAAUUUUACCCUCGUGUUGCACAUGCGCCCACGUUGGUACUCUCAGUGGAGCGCCCUGUCUUGAUACCCUCGUGUUGCACGUGUGCAGACACAUAGGCCCCUAGGCCUGUGUUGGUACCCUCAUUGGAGCGCCCCACUUUGAUGCCCUCUUGUGUUGCACGUGCGCAUACCUACAGGCCCCUAACCUUGUGUUGAUACCCUCGUGUGUUGCACGUGCGCACAUCCACAGGCCCUGAGCCGCGUGUUGAUACCCCCAUUUGUUGCACGUGCGCAUGCCCACAGGCCCCUAGCCCCCCUCCUCCCACCACCUUCGGUGCCAAGGCUGGUGGCCCAUCAGAGCUGAGCCCCACAGAGGCUAUCAAGGCAGGCACUGAGUGGCUGGCAUCCUGGAUCUCUGCCAACUAUGUGGGCAUGGGCAAGAGCGCAGCAGAUGCGCUGCCAGGUGAGCUGAGCUGGCAAAGCUGCCAGGUGAUCUCUGCCAAAUACGUGGGCAAGAGCGCAGCAGAUGCGCUGCCAGGUGAGCUUAGCGUGCAAAGCUGCCAGGUGAUCUCUGCCAAUUACGUGGGCAAGAGCGCAGCAGGUAAUCUCUGUCAACUGUGUGGGCAUGGGCAAGAGCACCACAAAUGCGCUGCCUGCUGAGCUGAGCAUGCAAGGCUGCUGCAGCUUUUCUUCGUGUUAAAGCGGGCGUGCUGUUUGCGCAUGGCUGUGCAAUGAUACUUGUUGCUCAUGUAAUACGAAGCUAAGCUGGUCUUCCUUCCUGUGUGCGCGCGCGCCUUCUCUGCAGAGCUUCGCCGCCGCGGGGUGGUGUGCACGUACGUCAAGGAUGGUCACCAUUUAUUCAGGUGCGUGUGGCUCAAGAAUGUGCAGCAUGCUGUUGCGGGUGGAUGUCAACGAUGGGUUUGGCAUUUGGAUGCAACCAUGGAUACCUUAACUGCUGUUCCAGCUCAGUGAGCAAGUAGAAAAGGGACUGUGGGGGUAAAUUGCGCUUUUUGGGUGGCACUUUCUAGAAAAAGCUGAGUCGAACACACAAAAGUAAAACCACAUGGAUUCAUCCCAAGAUGUACAUGUUUAAUAUGAUUGCGAGAUCAUGGCUGCAAAGAGGUUUACUAAAAAAAAACUGAGCAUAGAAGCCCAGGCACAUGCACACUAGAAUCGCAUCACACGCUAGAAUCUUGAUCUGCAUCAUUAUUGCUUGCCAUAAUUGCUUCCUGUUCUGGAGACUAAUCUCAGAUGAUUGCGGUGAACAGGAUUCCCUGCUGGUCCACUUACAGCAUCCAGUUGCUGUCCAAUUUUUGCACCCAGGUUCCCUGGAGAGCCGACCCAGGUAGAUGCCCCUCAAGUGGCAAAAAUGCUGCAGCUGCGCCCGCGUUGA